UACGUAGGGGGCGAGCGUUGUCCGGAAUCAUUGGGCGUAAAGAGCGUGUAGGCGGCCAGACAGGUCCGUUGUGAAAACUCGAGGCUCAACCUCGAGACGUCGACGGAAACCGUCUGGCUAGAGUCCGGAAGAGGAGUGUGGAAAUUCCUGGUGUAGCGGUGAAAUGCGCAGAUAUCAGGAAGAACACCUAUGGCGAAGGCAGCACUCUGGGACGGUACUGACGCUGAGACGCGAAAGCGUGGGGAGCGAACAGG
rnacentral:rRNA from 1 species